rnacentral:rRNA from 1 species
GACGAACGCUGGCGGCGUGCUUAACACAUGCAAGUCGAACGGAAAGGCCCUGCUUUUGUGGGGUGCUCGAGUGGCGAACGGGUGAGUAACACGUGAGUAACCUGCCCUUGACUUUGGGAUAACUUCAGGAAACUGGGGCUAAUACCGGAUAGGAGCUCCUGCUGCAUGGUGGGGGUUGGAAAGUUUCGGCGGUUGGGGAUGGACUCGCGGCUUAUCAGCUUGUUGGUGGGGUAGUGGCUUACCAAGGCUUUGACGGGUAGCCGGCCUGAGAGGGUGACCGGCCACAUUGGGACUGAGAUACGGCCCAGACUCCUACGGGAGGCAGCAGUGGGGAAUAUUGCACAAUGGGCGGAAGCCUGAUGCAGCAACGCCGCGUGCGGGAUGACGGCCCUCGGGUUGUAAACCGCUUUCACCUGUGACGAAGCGUGAGUGACGGUAAUGGGUAAAGAAGCACCGGCUAACUACGUG